GACGAACGCUGGCGGCGUGCUUAACACAUGCAAGUCGAACGGAAAGGCCCUGCUUUUGUGGGGUGCUCGAGUGGCGAACGGGUGAGUAACACGUGAGUAACCUGCCCUUGACUUUGGGAUAACUUCAGGAAACUGGGGCUAAUACCGGAUAGGAGCUCCUGCUGCAUGGUGGGGGUUGGAAAGUUUCGGCGGUUGGGGAUGGACUCGCGGCUUAUCAGCUUGUUGGUGGGGUAGUGGCUUACCAAGGCUUUGACGGGUAGCCGGCCUGAGAGGGUGACCGGCCACAUUGGGACGGGGAGACGGCCCAGACGCCUACGGGAGGCAGCAGUGGGGAAUAGUGCACAAUGGGCGGAAGCCUGAUGCAGCAACGCCGCGUGCGGGAUGACGGCCUUCGGGUUGUAAACCGCUUUCGCCUGUGACGAAGCGUGAGUGACGGUAAUGGGUAAAGAAGCACCGGCUAACUACGU
rnacentral:rRNA from 1 species